CUUACCCCAUACUCUAACCUGAAUGCAGGGAUCAUAAAACUUUAUCUUUUACCUUAAUUGUUAGAUGGGUGUUGAUACCAAACUUUUUUUCUCGUCUACCCAGGAGAAAGUCAUGGGUUCUGCUGCUAAGGUUGUCAUAAACGUCUUUUAUUCUGCUUACCUGACUCAUGCAGAAUUCUGGCUUGAUGUUUGGUCCACCUGUUAGCUGGCUCUGGUGCUUGGUAGUCUUCUCAAACCUCUGAAUCAAGACCACCAUGAGAGGCCUUCUGAAGACCAUCAUAACGCUUCAGAUCCAGUUGUCUUUACUUUGAGCCUACCACAAUCCCUGUGCACCAGCUAUGGAAAGUGAAGACCAAACUUCUACCUCCACCUAUAGAACUGAACUGGAGUCUGUGAACUAAUGCUGUGUUCGAGACAACUUGGAUGUUGGAUAUUAUUGACCUCAAACCCGUAAGAAGUCUGGAACCGCAAACAAAGUUGAGUAUCCGACCUCUCAACUUGGGACAGAUCCAUCAACCCCGACCUCAAUGAGAUGCAUCAUUUGACAUUGCAGACAAGGUGGUGGCUAGCCUUUCACAGCCUUACAUGAACCGCAAACAAACUUUAAACAAUUUUUACUGCACAUAUUUAUGAACAUGAAUGUUAAAUUAUCCAGUAACCGUUUUCUGCCAUAAUUGGCACAAGAGCACAAACUUCUCCUGGCGUCUCAUUAUGUGGUAAACACGCAAAUGUGAUACGUGAUUGACUGGAAUGCAUUGAGGUCGGAGCGAGGUAGGAUAUUUAAUGACAUAACAUCAGAAAUCCGAGUUGUCUGUAACACUGCACAAUAUUUCACAGAAUUGUCACCACCUGAUUAUCCUCCCAUGUUUUUAACACAACCAUUGAUUGGUCACACGGAUGAAGGCAGCAAGCAGAGACAUUUGUCCUUUGUAUCUCUAAAAAAAAAAGAAAUCUAUAUUUAAUGUUAAAAAACACUUACUGUGUUAGAUAACUGUGCUCUUGGAAGUCAGCUUAAGUGAACAAAUGGUAAUGUUAAUGAAAAGUUCAUUUUUGUCACAGUUGCAAACUAACAACCACACAGAAUAUGAAGAAUAGCCAGAACUGUGGUAAUAAGCUAGCCCUAAAAUGUUGUGAGAAUCUUGAUGUAUUGGACACAGGUGUGUAGUAUCUGUUAUUUAUACCACGGGUGUGUUGAAUGCUGUAUUCUGAUUGGCUGAGAAAUGUUCCGUGGGUAUGCAUUAAUUUCUGAUAACCACACACCUAACUUGUCAAAUGUCUUAAAAUUAGGCACCAGAGCAAUGUUUGUGGUAACUGUGGUAUUAGAAGAAUAAUUGACUCCGGUCCUUUGAAUUAUUUGAAAAUAAAGCACACCUGCAGUUUAACGGCACUCCGCUUCGGGUCGUGCCGCAUUGCACCUUGGGUGUGCAUUAUUUUCUUUUAAUUCAAUGGCCCGUCGUCAAUUAUUCCUUACAUAUUGACGGUUGACAGGUUUGUUUGCAUGUAAUUGCGUUAUUAUUAAUUUGGGGUUGAUAGUCCAAUGUCGAUUUUUUUCUUUUUAGAUCCUUUCUCUUUUUAAUGCAGAACUUAAGGAUGAACCACCCUGAUCUACUAAGAUGCACAGAUUCAACUCUGGCCCAGCAUCAUCCCCACACCUCAUCUGCCAUCAGUUUAAUUUAAUGUCUGUCAAUUGCAAAUGCUAUUCAUUUCAGUUAUAUUACAACUUAAUGUUAACUUUAAUUGAGACUAGUAUUGUGUAAAGCUGGGGUUUCCAAACUUUUCAUUUCAAAACCUAUUAGACAAGUGUAAUCUAUUCUAGACCCACUAAAAUAUUUUUAAAUAUAAAUUUUUUUAAUGGGGUAAAACAAAUUUGUUCUCUUUCAGUGGAGUCAUUUUAUUUUCAUAAUAUUUCAUAAUGUAAAGCAGUGGUUCUUAACGUUAUUCCUCGAAGCCCAUUGCUCUGCACAUUUUGUUGACUCUUUUAUCUGACAGACUCAGUUCAGUUCAUUGAGAUCUCUUCUAAUGUGCUGAUGAUUUAAAUCAGGUGUGUUAAAAAAGGGAGACAUACAAAAUGUGCAGGGCAGUGGGCCUCGAGGAAUAACAUUAAGAACCACUGAUGUAAAGUAACUAUAAGUUUAUUUGCAAAACCAAAUAUUUUAUGGUAUAUUCUUUCAAAACCAUUGUCAUUGUUAAUUAUUAAUUUGGCCAAACUGUUGUUGCAUCAUUAAGGUGCGAAACACACCUUAACCUACUGUGUGACCGACAAGUGGGUCCUCCUGACCCACAGUUUAAAAUCCCCUGGUGUACCGAAUGUUGUAUUGUAAUUAAAGUCGCAUCUAAGUCUUGUGUAA